CCCGGUUGAUCCUGCCAGUAGUCAUAUGCCUGUCUCAUGCAUGCAGUAGUACUGUGAAACGGCGAAUGGCUCAUUAAAUCAGUUAUUUAUUUGAUUGCACCAUUACUACUUGGAUAACCGUAGUAAUUUUAAAGUUAAUACAUGCGAAAAGUCCCGAAUUCUGAAGGGAUGUAUUUAUUAGCUUUAAAACCAAUGCGGAUUCUGCCCGGUUCUUUGGUGAUUCAUAGUGAUUGAUCGAGUCGCACAGCCUUGCACUGGCGAUGUUUGAUUCAAAUUUCCGCCCUAUCAACUGUCGAUGGUAAGGUAGUAGCUUACCACAGUUGCCACGGGUGACGGAGAAUUAGGGUUCGAUUCCGGAGAGGGAGCCUGAGAAACGGCUACCACAUCCAAGGAAGGCAGCAGGCGCACAGAUUACCCAACCCUGACUUAGGGGAGGUAGUGACAAGAAAUAACAUUACAAGGCUUUUCCAAGUGUUGUAACUGGAAUGAGUACAACUUAAAUCCUUUAACGAGGAUCCAUUGGAGGGCACGUUUUGUGGCAGCAACCGCGGUAAUUCCAGCUCCAAUAGGGUAUAUUAAAAAUUGUUGCAGUUAAAAAGCUCUGCGACGUUUAUUUUAAAAAAGUUAGAGUGUUGAAAGCAAGCCAGUGCUUGAAAACAUAAGCAUAGAAUAAUGGAAUAGGACUUUGGUUCUAUAAUGGUGGUUUCUGGAACUGAAGUAAUGACUAAGAGAGACAGUUGUGGGCAUUGGUAUUUCUUUGUCAGAAGUGAAAUUCUUGGAUUUGCGAAAGACGAAUUUCUGCAAAAGCUUUUGCCAAGAAUGUUUUUAUUAAUCAAGAAAGAAAGUUAGGUUAGAGGAUCAAAGACGAUCAGAUACCGUCCUAGUGAUGAGCCAUAAACAUCUAACCAUAAACAAUGCCAACAAGGGAUCAGAGGGUGUUGUUGGAUGACCCCUUUGACAUCGUAUGGGAAACCAAAGUUUUUGGGUUUCGGGGAAGUAUGUUUGCAAAGCUGAAACUUAAAGGAAUUGAAGGAAGGGCACCUCCAGGAGUGGAGCUUGCGGCUGAAUUUGACUCAACACGGGGAUACACACCAGGUCCCGACAUAGUAAGGAUUGACAGAUAGAGAGCUCUUUCGUGAUUCUAUGGGUGGUGGUGCAUGGCUGUUCUUAGUUGGUGGAGUGAUUUGUCGCAGCAAAGGGAACGGAUUUUGUAAAAUC
rnacentral:rRNA from 1 species